rnacentral:rRNA from 1 species
UAGGGAAUCUUCGGCAAUGGACGAAAGUCUGACCGAGCAACGCCGCGUGAGUGAAGAAGGUUUUCGGAUCGUAAAACUCUGUUGUUAGAGAAGAACAAGGACGUUAGUAACUGAACGUCCCCUGACGGUAUCUAACCAGAAAGCCACGGCUAACUACGUGCCAGCAGCCGCGGUAAUACGUAGGUGGCAAGCGUUGUCCGGAUUUAUUGGGCGUAAAGCGAGCGCAGGCGGUUUCUUAAGUCUGAUGUGAAAGCCCCCGGCUCAACCGGGGAGGGUCAUUGGAAACUGGGAGACUUGAUUGCAGAAGAGGGGAGUGGAAUUCCAUGUGUAGCGGUGAAAUGCGUAGAUAUAUGGAGGAACACCAGUGGCGAAGGCGGCUCUCUGGGCUGUAACUGACGCUGAGGCGCGAAAGCGUGGGGAGCAAACAGG